rnacentral:rRNA from 1 species
GGGCGUAAGAGCUCGUAGGCGGUUUGUCGCGUCUGUCGUGAAAGUCCGGGGCUUAACCCCGGAUCUGCGGUGGGUACGGGCAGACUAGAGUGCAGUAGGGGAGACUGGAAUUCCUGGUGUAGCGGUGGAAUGCGCAGAUAUCAGGAGGAACACCGAUGGCGAAGGCAGGUCUCUGGGCUGUAACUGACGCUGAGGAGCGAAAGCAUGGGGAGCGAACAGGAUUAGAUACCCUGGUAGUCCAUGCCGUAAACGUUGGGCACUAGGUGUGGGGACCAUUCCACGGUUUCCGCGCCGCAGCUAACGCAUUAAGUGCCCCGCCUGGGGAGUACGGCCGCAAGGCUAAAACUCAAAGGAAUUGACGGGGGCCCGCACAAGCGGCGGAGCAUGCGGAUUAAUUCGAUGCAACGCGAAGAACCUUACCAAGGCUUGACAUGUUCUCGAUCGCCGUAGAGAUACGGUUUCCCCUUUGGGGCGGGUUCACAGGUGGUGCAUGGUUGUCGUCAGCUCGUGUCGUGAGAUGUUGGGUUAAGUCCCGCAACGAGCGCAACCCUCGUUCCAUGUUGCCAGCACGUCNUGGUGGGGACUCAUGGGAGACUGCCGGGGUCAACUCGGAGGAAGGUGAGGACGACGUCAAAUCAUCAUGCCCCUUAUGUCUUGGGCUUCACGCAUGCUACAAUGGCCGGUACAAUGGGUUGCGAUACUGUGAGGUGGAGCUAAUCCCAAAAAGCCGGUCUCAGUUCGGAUUGGGGUCUGCAACUCGACCCCAUGAAAGUCGGGAGUCGCUAGUAAUCGCAGAUCAGCAACGCUGCGGUGAAUACGUUCCCGGGCCUUGUACACACCGCCCGUCAAGUCACGAAAGUUGGUAACACCCGAAGCCGGUGG